UAAUUUUAAUAAAUAUUGACGUGUGGAUGACAAACUUAGUGAGAUGAUAUUUUUGCUUCAAUAAGACAAAUAGAUAUUGACGUGUUUUGUCAACAUGAAAAUGAAAUGAUGACAUUCAUUUUUUAUUAACUAAUAAUUUUGAAUAGAAGCAUCUAGUAUGUAUUUUGAUUAAUUGUAUAUUUUUCAUAUCUAGGUAAUAGUAAAAAGAUAAAAAAAAAUUAGUUUUUUUUCUUGUAAAUAAGUCAAAUUUGUUAGGUUUUUUUAACUUUGAAAAAUAAGAUAUAGUGGACUUCUCUGUCACGGUUUCACUUUCCACCAAACUGAAAAAUCAUGUCUCCACUUCCAUAAUCAGCAUUAAUAUUUGAAAAAUCUUUUUUGUAGAAAUUCAUGAAAAAUACUGAGCUAAUUUAUUUGACCAACUUUUAGAAAUUUUUAUAAUGAUUCUUCUACAUAAAAAUAGAAAACAUGAAAAACCCGUCAAAAUUAAAAUAAGACAUGUUUUUAUUGUUUAAAAUUCGUAGAUUUAUUCUAAUUAAUGU
rnacentral:lncRNA from 1 species